CAUACGGGUGGCAGCAGUGGGGAAUAUUGGACAAUGGGCGAAAGCCUGAUCCAGCCAUGCCGCGUGUGUGAAGAAGGCCUUCGGGUUGUAAAGCACUUUCAGUGGGGAAGAAAGCCUUGGGGCUAAUACCCUCGAGGAAGGACAUCACCCACAGAAGAAGCACCGGCUAACUCCGUGCCAGCAGCCGCGGUAAUACGGAGGGUGCGAGCGUUAAUCGGAAUUACUGGGCGUAAAGCGCGCGUAGGCGGUCUGAUAAGCCGGUUGUGAAAGCCCCGGGCUCAACCUGGGAACGGCAUCCGGAACUGUCAGGCUAGAGUGCAGGAGAGGAAGGUAGAAUUCCCGGUGUAGCGGUGAAAUGCGUAGAGAUCGGGAGGAAUACCAGUGGCGAAGGCGGCCUUCUGGACUGACACUGACGCUGAGGUGCGAAAGCGUGGGUAGCAAACAGGAUUAGAUACCCCGGUAGUC
rnacentral:rRNA from 1 species